GAUGAACGCUAGCGGCAGGCUUAAUACAUGCAAGUCGAGGGGGCAGCAAUGUCACCGGCGAACGGGUGCGUAACACGUAUGCAACCUACCUAUAUCAGGGGGAUAGCUCGAGGAAACGCGGAUUAAUACCGCAUAACAUUAGGAGCGGCAGCGAUUAUAAUUGUAAGAUGUAUCGGAUACAGAUGGGCAUGCGUAGUAUAAGCUAGUUGGUAAGGUAACGGGAUACCAAGGCUAGGAACCUUAGGGGCUCUGAGAGGAGUAUCCCCCACACUGGCACUGAGAUACGGGCCAGACUCCUACGGGAGGCAGCAGUAGGGAAUAUUGGGCAAUGGGCGGAAGCCUGACCCAGCCAUGCCGCGUGCAGGAAGACGGCCCUCUGGGUUGUAAACUGCUUUUGAAUGGGAAGAAAGGUAUGCUUGCGAGCGUAAUUGACGGUACCAUUAGAAUAAGCCACGGCUAACUACGUGCCAGCAGCCGCAGUAA
rnacentral:rRNA from 1 species